rnacentral:misc_RNA from 1 species
CACCCCUCAACAAUUUCCAGCCGCCACAGCCUCCCUGUCUUCUUCCCCCACGCGCAGCAGCACCUUCUUCCCCAGCGCGCAGGGAGCUCGGCUCCCUUCCUCUCCAUGGCGCCCAAGCCCUUCUUCCUCAAGCCGGCGCCCAAGCAUGCUCCCUCCCCUGCCCUUCUUCUCCCAUGGGCGCGAGCUCCACCUUCCCUGUUUUGGACGCCACGCAGAAGCUCCUCCAUGGCAGGCGCCCAGGCGAGCUUCCCCCCAUGGCGCUCGGCUCCCUGUUCCCUGGUGCCCUGUGGUUGCCCCCUUCUUCACCUGGACGCGCGCACCCCUCCUCCGGCUCGCCUCCCUUCAGGCAGGACCAGCUGCAGCUCUGCGCUCCACCUCCCAUGGCGCCCCUGCGACUUCCAUGGCCGCCAGCCCUCCCUGCGAGCUCAGCUCCUCCCCAUUCAUGGCGCCCCCUGCUCUUCCCUGCCCAGCCAGGAAACGCCCAGGCCAGGAGUGCCUUGAGCUCGCCCCUGCUCCUCUCUCUCUACCAAGCGCCCCCCUGCAAUCUUCCCCAAGCUGUCUUCCUCCUCUCCCCAACGGCGCCCUCCUCUUUUCCUCUCUGUUCCAGACCGGCAUCAGGGCAGUGCGCGCAAACUCUCCCAGCCAAGGACAGCACCAUCCCCUCCCCUGCUGCUGCUCGCCCCCUACCUCCUUUUCCCCUAGUGCGACAGCAAGGAACCCCUGUUCUGCCGGCAGCCAUGGCAUCCAAGUUCUCUGCGCAGCGAUGUCGGUCCAAAACAGCAGCCUCAGAUCCCCUCCGCAUCGCGUGCUUCGCUCGAUCUGCGUAGUCCCGACCCACGCCGUCGCGUUGGUGUUUGGGGACAGCCCAUGUCGUGUCGUUGAUCUGCGCAGUUCGACCGUCUACGCGUCUCACUUCGCCGGAUCUGCGCAGCCCCAACAUCGACGUCGUUCACCCCGGUGAGACGACGAUGAUCUUUGUUUGAUUCCACAUCGGCAUUGUUCUCCGGUGAUUAAAUUGUGUAUAUGUGCUGUUUUGUUUUAUUUUGUGGAGGCGAGGAACCCCAUGUUUUGCGUGGAGAAGAAGGCAAGACGUCAACGCUCGUCGGAUGUUUGGAGCGAUGCACAAAUCGGAAUCACCGUCAUUCUUGCAAACACCGUGUGGGUUUGUUUAUGGACCGAGAGACGAUCGUGCAAGUGAUGUGGUGCCAACCACAAGGUGCAGUCGGUGGACGAUCCAAGGAAGGAUGGACAUAACCAGUGGAUGCUCGCCAAGCGAGUAUCCCCCAGCAAACACUGUCUAAGUGUUAAAUUAAAGGAAAGCCCCGGUUUUAUGCAUAACCGUUUAUAUAUGCUAUUUUACUACACUUAAUGUUUGUAGGCUUGUACUGUGCACUUAAGUGUAGGAGUUGAAUGAAACCCUAGUUGCAUGAACUCAGGAUUCCUUUUGAGAUGGAUACUAGUAUGCUAGGUCGAGUAGCUGCUUUACUAAUUAGGGAUCUCGGUAGAAGUCGAGUGAUUUUUCUAGCACUCGCGCGAGGUCAGGAAUUGGUUGUAUCCACUUUGAUAACAGAAUGGUGAUGGUCUGUGGACACGGGUCCAUGGGGACGCGUGGUCUACGAGAUGAAAUUGGAAUAAGGAUUAACGUGCGGAUACCUGUGUCAAGCGUUUGAACGUACUAAACACAUGCCGAGAAAUAUGGUAAAUCGGUAAGCCUAGUACCUGAGUGAACCUGCCCGCUGAUUGCCCUCCUCACGCG